rnacentral:lncRNA from 1 species
GACAUAAGGAAUCCUGUAUAAACGGCAUAAAACAGAAUACAAAAGAGCUACCACUGAGUUGGUCCAGAGGGCACCACAGUAUUCACCAGUACGGAGUAAGAGAUUCAACUACUACUUUGUGUUGGUAUGACGAUUUGGAGAAUCAUCCUAUACAGAAGCUGAGUAAAGUUAUGAAUGCUUCAGCCCGGAUUCACAAAGACAACUAACACCUUACGUCUUACUGAAAGGCAUGCAUUGUUUGACUGAGAAGAAUGGAUACUGCCCACUUGCUCAACUUCUUUUCCAGUUGUUACCGGAACAACCCCAUCAAUUUACUGAGCAAACACUUUCUAUACCUGUGCCUGUGUAUGUAAGGCCCUUCUUUUAUAAUUUAGUGGACAAGCUUGUCCAUUUUCCUCACAACUUUAAGUCCCAGGGUUACACAUCCUCAGGUCUUUUCAUAAUAGGCACUUCAGUGGCAGGAAUGCAGCUUACAGUGUUCUGGAAGCAGCUCCUUGAUAGAUAAAGUGGUUGAAUAGCACUACCUUCGAAGAAUCUGCCUUUGUAAGUCAUGAAGAUUUGUCCAUAUAUAAUUCACGUCACAAGUUCCUGAUAUUUUAGGUUUGUAUACAGUUCACAUCUGCUUAUUAAGCUGAUUUAAAAAGUCUUUUCACCUAUUUUAAUCUUGAUUGACACUUUUUGUUUGCAACUUCAGAGCAGCAUAAUUCAGGAGACAUCAUCUGGCAUAAACUCUUUGAGUAAUGGACGCAUGAUAGGAAGUAUUUAGCUUAAACACAAAUAUUUCACACUGUCCAUACAGGUAAAUUGAGGCUAGGCCUCUGUGCUUACUGUGAUCUUGCUUUAUCUCCCACCCCUCAGCAAAGGCUCUUGGUUCAGGCCUUCUCACUGUCACCCAGUUUGCAGUGUGUUAGAGCAGCUUGAAAGUAAACUGUGAAGAAGCCAAGUCUUACACAGGGUGAAAACAAAGCUGAACUGACAGUUUUGUUAUUGAAUGACAGAGGAGUCUUAUGACUUAUUUUUAGCUUAUACAUUUGCAUUUUCUUUUUUCACUGGAGCAAAUAAUCCUAUUUUUAAAACAAAGAAUAUACGUUAGCCAUAGCUGUGUGAUUGACUUCAGGAACAACCUCACCGAAUCCGG